GGGAGCUUGCUCCUGGGUGACGAGCGGCGGACGGGUGAGUAAUGUCUGGGAAACUGCCUGAUGGAGGGGGAUAACUACUGGAAACGGUAGCUAAUACCGCACAACGUCGCAAGACCAAAGAGGGGGACCUUCGGGCCUCUUGCCAUCAGAUGUGCCCAGAUGGGAUUAGCUAGUAGGUGGGGUAACGGCUCACCUAGGCGACAAUCCCUAGCUGGUCUGAGAGGAUGACCAGCCACACUGGAACUGAGACACGGUCCAGACUCCUACGGGAGGCAGCAGUGGGGAAUAUUGCACAAUGGGCGCAAGCCUGAUGCAGCCAUGCCGCGUGUAUGAAGAAAGCCUUCGGGUUGUAAAGUACUUUCAGCGGGGAGGAAAGUGUUGAGGUUAAUAACCUCGGCAAUUGACGUUACCCGCAGAAGAAGCACCGGCUAACUCCGUGCCAGCAGCCGCGGUAAUACGGAGGGUGCAAGCGUUAAUCGGAAUUACUGGGCGUAAAGCGCACGCAGGCGGUCUGUCAAGUCGGAUGUGAAAUCCCCGGGCUCAACCUGGGAACUGCAUUCGAAACUGGCAGGCUAGAGUCUUGUAGAGGGGGGUAGAAUUCCAGGUGUAGCGGUGAAAUGCGUAGAGAUCUGGAGGAAUACCGGUGGCGAAGGCGGCCCCCUGGACAAAGACUGACGCUCAGGUGCGAAAGCGUGGGGAGCAAACAGGAGUAGAUACCCUGGUAGUCCACGCCGUAAACGAUGUCGACUUGGAGGUUGUUCCCUUGAGGAGUGGCUUCCGGAGCUAACGCGUUAAGUCGACCGCCUGGGGAGUACGGCC
rnacentral:rRNA from 1 species